GCCUGGGUAGCUCAGUUGGGUAGAGCGUGGUGCUGACAAUGCCAAGGUUGCAGGUUCGAUCCCUGUAUGGGGCA